UAGGAAUCGGACCAGGAUCCCGUCUAAACGCUGUAAGAGGAGAGGAUCAGCAGCAUUGAUUCCCUGCCUCUCAGGUAGGGUGACCAGACAGCAAGUGUGAAAAAUCGGGAAGGGUGUGGGGGGUGUAAUAGGCACCUAUAUAAAACAAAGCCCCCAAUAGCAGGACUGUCUCUAUAAAAUCGGGACGUCUGGUCACCCUACUCUCAGGCAGCGGGUGCCCCCGUGCCCAACCCCGAACCGAGCCCCACGCCCACCCCUUCCGAGUGCGCUCCGCGCCCCAGCGGAGACACAACCGUGUAAACAGAAAACGCCACUCCAGUUCCUCCCCGGCGCAAAACCCGGACCCGGGUCCAGACAGACCCCUCUGCAGCAGGGGCAGAUGCGCGAGGGGGGCCAGGCUCUGAGGACACAGACGCCAAGAAAUGAUGAACCUUGGUGCAAGUCACCAGGAAACCAAGACUCGAAGAAGUUCUUUUAUGAAAGGCAAAGGUUUUGAAGGCCCUGGGUAGCUGCAGUGAGAUUAGCAUCAUGAUGGAUGGAGUACCACCACUGAAGGACCCAAAGCUCUUCAUAAGACACCUGCAGUUUGAUGAGGUGCCAAUGACGGAUGAUUUGCCAGCCCAGAUUGCAAUUGGCUGGCCAAAGAAGAGGGCUUUGGGAUG